rnacentral:tRNA from 1 species
NGGGUUGUAGUUAAAUAUAACAUUUGAUUUG